AGUUCUUCACUGGCAAGCUUUAUGUUCCUGUACACAUGCUAAAGCUGCCAGCUGAAGAACUGC
rnacentral:pre_miRNA from 1 species